GCAGUCGUGGCCGGGUGAGUAAGGCGAUGGACUAGAAAUCCAUUGUGGUCUUUCCGCACAGGUUCGAAUCCUGUCGACUGCG
rnacentral:tRNA from 2 species